rnacentral:lncRNA from 12 species
GGCAAGUAACAUUGAAUUGAAUCGAGUAUAAUGAGAAAGACUGAAAUAGUAUUUUUCCUGUAAAACAUACUGAUUAUUACAGUGUAUUUGCAUACAUAUAAUAUCAAGAUUGUACAAAGUAACAUUUAUCUAUAAACAUGAACAGUAUGUGUAUUUUUAAUGUUCUGAGAACGUUAAAUGUCCAGUUUUCUUGACAUGAUCAAUGUUAUUUAAAGGUUACAAAGACUUCUCUUAAACUGUUUCUUAACUUAAAACAUUUUCAUCCUAAAUAAUGUUAUCUGAACUUUUAUUUUUAAUAUGUUAAAAUGUCCAAAUGUAAAUGUUAAAGGUAACUAAAUCAUUUCUUACACGUUUAAUUUUUUUCCACCCAAAAUAUAACGUUAUUUGAACGUUUAGUUUUAAGAUUUGUUACAAUAUCCAGUUUUCUUGUUGUGAUUAUAACUAAAUUUAAAGGUUACAAAAAAAAAACCGUUUCUUACAUUUUUCUUUUUUCACCCAAAAUCUAAUGUUAUUUGAAGAUUUAAUUUUUAUAUUCUAAAAACGUUAAAAUGUCCAGUUCCCUUGUUGUGAUUAGAACAUUAUUUAAUGUACAAUAACGCUUCUCUGAAUGUUUAUCAAGUAUAAAUAACAUCAUAAGGACAUUCUGAGAAUGUUGAUGUCAGAACGUUUUUCUCAACAUUAAAAGAACGUUGAUCAUGUAAAGUAACAUCAUGAGAACAUUCCAAGAACAUUUUCUCUCAAUGUUAUGAGAACUGAUUAAUUACAUCAUAAGAACAUUAAGAACAUUUUGUCAUAUUAUUUAAAAAAAAAAAACAUUAGUCAAAUUUGUGAGAAUGUUCCCUGUUAGCUGUGUUCCCAAAAGUGUGAAGGUCCUGUAAAGGUCAGCUUCAUCCGGCAUAUACUGCAGUUUAUUGAUGUUCCUGUAGAAGUGCUGCUUUGCUCCUUACUCAUUCAGAAAGUGCUGUUUAUAUCUGAAGUGUCACACUGUGCUAAGCUCUGCGAGUGUGGAAGCUGUUUGCAGGCCGCAGCGGGACACAGAUGAAAGCAUCAGCACUGCUGGCGUCUGGGUCAGCAGUCCUGUCACAGCGGGUCACAGUGACUGGACGUCCCGGCCUGAUUUAAGACCAGAAGCUGCAGGCCUGCAUUCAGGUUCUUCUCUGGGGAAAAAUCGUUUGAGGGAAAAUGCCACCAAACACAUCAGAUAUCAGCUACUGGUCUCAACACCGCAGAGGAAAUGAAGGCCGUAAUGAGCGAUCUGUUUAACAGUCUGUCAUCAGAUCUGGAAUCAGCGGCCGUGAACCCGUCACCUUCACGUCUACAGCAAACGCUCGUGAGUAUUUUGCUUCCAUAUGUCUAAAUGCCUACAGCUGGCCAUAUCAUGCCUCUCAGUCCUGCUUCAGCGCUGGAUUCAGACGGGAGCAGAUGGUGAUGUGAAGAGCAGAACUGGCCCAAAUAUGCGGCACCUCAUGUAGUUUCAUUUAGAGUGGGUCAUAAUGUGCUGUUUCAGGCAUCCGGGCGUUUGUAAACAUGCCGUCGCGGAUGAGACAGACUGAUGUUAUUCUACACAUGACAUGCUUUCCAUCCGGCAUGAACUUCUGACCUUCAUGUGUUUAUUCACGAGAGCAUUUGGACAGCAGGAAUGAGGCUUAAUUGGGCAGAUGUGUUUGCUUUCAGUGAGAAUCCAACAUGCAUGAGAGAACCGCUUUUCAGCUAUCAGGGAACUUUCCUUUAUUUUUUUUAACGUUAGCACAAAAUGUUCUUUAAGUAAUGUUUAUGGAACGUUUUUAU